rnacentral:rRNA from 1 species
CCUAACACAUGCAAGUCGAACGGUAACAGGAAGCAGCUUGCUGCUUCGCUGACGAGUGGCGGACGGGUGAGUAAUGUCUGGGAAGCUGCCUGAUGGAGGGGGAUAACUACUGGAAACGGUAGCUAAUACCGCAUAAUGUCGCAAGACCAAAGAGGGGGACCUUCGGGCCUCUUGCCAUCGGAUGUGCCCAGAUGGGAUUAGCUUGUUGGUGGGGUAACGGCUCACCAAGGCGACGAUCCCUAGCUGGUCUGAGAGGAUGACCAGCCACACUGGAACUGAGACACGGUCCAGACUCCUACGGGAGGCAGCAGUGGGGAAUAUUGCACAAUGGGCGCAAGCCUGAUGCAGCCAUGCCGCGUGUAUGAAGAAGGCCUUCGGGUUGUAAAGUACUUUCAGCGGGGAGGAAGGGAGUAAAGUUAAUACCUUUGCUCAUUGACGUUACCCGCAGAAGAAGCACCGGCUAACUCCGUGCCAGCAGCCGCGGUAAUACGGAGGGUGCAAGCGUUAAUCGGAAUUACUGGGCGUAAAGCGCACGCAGGCGGUUUGUUAAGUCAGAUGUGAAAUCCCCGGGCUCAACCUGGGAACUGCAUCUGAUACUGGCAAGCUUGAGUCUCGUAGAGGGGGGUAGAAUUCCAGGUGUAGCGGUGAAAUGCGUAGAGAUCUGGAGGAAUACCGGUGGCGAAGGCGGCCCCCUGGACGAAGACUGAUGCUCACGUGCGAAAGCGU